rnacentral:lncRNA from 1 species
UGGAGACAGAUCUUUGUGCGACUCCAUGUUGGUGCUGGAUAAGAAUGAGUGCUCUUAACUGCUGAGCAGCCUCUCCAGUCCCCAGUUGGGAGUCAUUUUACCAAAAGACAUUUUAAUUUUCCUUUGUAUAUAUUUCUGGCAGGGACUUUUUUGUAGGUAACAGUCAUACAUCUCCAUCCCUUCUUGGUCUGGCUGCUCACGUGCACAGAUGUGCAGAUAGAUAGCCAGAUGAGUAGAGAGACUACGAAGUUUUAGUAGGCAGGCAGCCCUGUACUGUGGCAUAUAAUAUCUAUGAUGUUUAAGCCUAUUUUGUAUGGCCUUGCUCAUUAUUUAGAAAUACUCACAUUCUGUUAAAAUUCAGAGUAUACUCACCCGGAAGCCAUGUCCCUAAGGUGAAUCAUUAGAGGUUGUGCAGAUUCCGUCUGAAAACCAUUUCUGAAUCAUGGGCAGGGACCUAAUUCUCUUAUCUACGAUAGAUUUGUGAACAUUAUGCUUGGGCCUUUGAAAACUGGGCUUGUAAGACUAUUAUUCAGGAUUUAAAUACACUGCCAUCUGCUGACAGUGCAUUUUUGAAAUUGUGUAUGUUUACUCAAAUUGUAGUAAGCACUUAGAGUCAUCAAUAACCAAAACAGACAAAAAUCCUGGACAUCUUGUGUACACAUAUAUUCUGUUUCCUCAUGCCUUUAUAAUAUAGAUAGAUAGAUAGAUAGAUAGAUAGAUAGAUAGGUAUGACAUGGCACCAUUGUGAAAAAUCAGAAUGGGGAAAGGGAUCAAAAAAGAAUAAGAUAAAAUUACUAGGUAGUUGCUAAACCUUUAUCAUCUGUAGCCUUAGUUCAUAGAUAUUUCUUAUGGGAAACCCUACCCCCAGCUUACUCAGAAAGAGUAAAAACAUUUUGCUAAAUAUUUCAGUUCAACUGACAGUUUGCUUGAUUUACAAAACUCUCUGCUGUAAAUGGUGGAAGGAAUGGCUAAUGUGGUCUGUGCAUAAGCAACAGCACACAGAGAGGCCUGAGAGGUGUACCACACACAGUGCCCACCUGCUGUGUCCACCGGAAGAGUAUAACCUAGUCAGAAAGGCGAACGUGACCAACCUCUGUCAGACAUUGGUGAGUGGAGGGCUGGAAGAGCUCUGCGGAUGAAGUUGUAAAUUGGUACAGUGACUUUAGGAAAAUGUUAGGGAGUUUCUUAUGAGAGUCAAUGUACAUACACUGUGCAGAAUUCAAGUUUUUAUAUUUACCCAAGAGAACAAGACAAUAGGCUUAUUUUAGGGAUUUAUUCUUCUUAUUUUCUGUGUGUGUUUUGUGUGCCUGGUGCCAGUGGAAUGCAGAGGAGGACAUCACCUACCACCUACUCAUAAACAUGAACAUUCAGAGGCAUUCUUCAGACAUCUUUUUCUCCUAAUUUCCACUUCAAAGUGUUUGUUUUACUAAUUGAGGUUUGGGGAAGGAAAAUAUAUGAACACAGUUGGUCAGGUGGGCAAAUAAAUGACCAUUUAAGAUCUAUGCAUUUGCUUUUGUUAGGGAAUAUUGAAGAAUACAUUUACUGUGAUAGACAAAGAAGGCCAAGGGUGGCUUUAGUUAAAAAUGUCAAGUUUGUAGUGAGGAGGGCUGGUUCUUAGAAUGAUACCACCAGCUGACCCCUUUACAGGUAAAGUGAUAACAUGGUUAAUUUUCAUUUGUAUUUUGCUUAAAGCAUGUGUACUAAGUUUAUGUUAGCAUUAUUCAAAUAAUAUAAUUUCAGCCAAUUUUAAAGAGGUUUUUUUCAGAGAUCCCUAUUUUAUUCAUAAUUGAAAAAUAUCUGUUGUGGAGACUAAAUUUGGGGUUCUUUAGCAUGGUUUAUAAAGUGAAUUACAACUUCCCUCUUGCCUUCUCCUAUAUAUUAAUUUACUUCUUUCUAGUAAUUUGCUAUUUUUUCAACUCAUGGCCAUUUGACAAUAUUAAGUGUUCAGUACCUGACAUACUGCUAUUUUCCUCCCCCUUUAAGGAGUUCUUUUUUUAACCUUUGCUAUUUUAUUUUUUAAGCUUUAAAUUGUAUUUCCUAGAUGUCCCAUUACUGCUUAAACUGUUGCCAGUUUUCUAAACUCCUGCUAAGAAAUGUGGCAGUUGCCAUAUUAAAGAAGGCUUAUCCUCCUUCCUGUUUAUAACAUCAUUUACAAUUUGUCUUUGUAGGUCAGUCAUAGAGUGCCUAAGGAAAUGGUUAACGGCCAAUAAUUAUUGAAAAGUUACACACGAUAGAGCAGUGUGGUAAAGUAAAAAGAGGAAAAAAAGGAGCAAGCUGAUUUUGGUAUUUUUAAAGAACUUUUCUGGGGAAAACAUGCCUUAUUAGAAGCAACAUUAAAGAAAGAGAAGUGCUCAGCUCACCUGCAUAUGCGUAUGCUUUUAUGUCAGCGUGAAGAGCUGCAUCUGAUACUUUCAUGUGUAUUAGAGCUAGCGUUGUUGAGCUGUAUACAUAACUAACAUUUGUAAACCGGCCUCUUUUACAUCCCUCUGUUUGUCCUCGUGUACGUGAAAGGUAAGCUACCUGUAGAUUUGUAAGUAAUAAAAUAAUAAUGCAGUUGUUACCGGGAAGGGUGGACAUGCCUGUGAUCCUAGCUCACGUGUGGCUGAGGCAGGAGGAUGCUUAGUCUGGGCUGUAGAGGGAGAGAGGGAAUAGUGGGAAGGUGUUCAUUGUGUGAGUACUUCUCCCAUAGGGCUUCUGAAAUCAGCUGGAAAGAUAGCUUCAUGUGGGUUUCUAAGUCCCGUUCUUGUAAAGAAAGGAAGGGUAACGACGUUUAUUAGAUUUGUUUUUUUUUUCUUUUUUUCCAGAAGUCAGUUUUUAUAUUCCUUGGUUAUCUCCUUUAGAUUUUAUAGGCUGUAGUUCCUCUAAAAACUUUCUUCCAGGGUUCGAAACUUUAUGUAAAAUAUUAAAUAUAAAGUGAGGGGCGGGAAAGAUUACUAUAGAACUGAAAAAGAAUUUUCACAUUGUUUAAGCACAAGGACCUCACCCAUACCUAUGUACUGUUACUUAAGGCUCCAUUUUUUAAAAAAAUGUUUGGUAAAUUAAGCGCUAUAAACUAGAAUGGAAGAUCAAUGCUAGGUAAACAGAGGAAACUGAACCUAAUCUGUCUGUACUAGGCUUUAUACAUUCAUUGUGAGCUUGCUUUGUUUGUUUGCUUGUUUUCAGUAACAUUGCUGGGAUUGUGAGAAAUACGUAAUAAAAAAUCCAGGCUGUCUUGUGGUAGGUAAUUCGCUCUUGUGGUAAUUCGGCACCUAUGUUCGUGUAUUUUAAGGCUUUCAAGUUUGCCUUUAACCCCCUGCUUUUUCUUCCUUGGGAAUCCCAGAACCUUAUAUGGUCAAGACUCAGCUUUCAGACUUUCAGUAAAAUGCAAGGCACCACUCC